rnacentral:rRNA from 1 species
AGUGAACGCUGGCGGUAGGCCUAACACAUGCAAGUCGAACGGCAGCACAGUAAGAGCUUGCUCUUACGGGUGGCGAGUGGCGUACGGGUGAGGAAUACAUCGGAAUCUACUUUUUCGUGGGGGAUAACGUAGGGAAACUUACGCUAAUACCGCAUACGACCUACGGGUGAAAGCAGGGGAUCUUCGGACCUUGCGCGAUUGAAUGAGCCGAUGUCGGAGUAGCUAGUUGGCGGGGUAAAGGCCCACCAAGGCGACGAUCCGUAGCUGGUCUGAGAGGAUGAUCAGCCACACUGGAACUGAGACACGGUCCAGACUCCUACGGGAGGCAGCAGUGGGGAAUAUUGGACAACGGGCGCAAGCCUGAUACAGCCAUACCGCGUGGGUGAAGAAGGCCUUCGGGUUGUAAAGCCGUUUUGUUGGGAAAGAAAAGCAGCAGGUUAAUACCCCGCUGUUCUGACGGUACCCAAAGAAUAAGCACCGGCUAACUUCGUG